rnacentral:snRNA from 1 species
AUCGCUUUCCGGCUAUUUGGCUAAGAUCAAGUGUAGUAUCUGUUCUUAUCAGUUUAUAUCUGAUACUGUCCCCCAUCGGGGGGACUAUACAUAUUAAAUGAUUUUCGAACAGGGAAUUCGGAAGCGGGGCUUGCUCCGUGCCGCUCCACGCAUCGACGCGGUAUUGCAGUACCUCCGAGAACCGGUGCACCCUCU